CCUACGGGUGGCAGCAGUAGGGAAUCUUUCACAAUGGGCGAAAGCCUGAUGGAGCAACGCCGCGUGCAGGAUGAAGGCCUUCGGGUUGUAAACUGCUUUUAUAAGCGAGAAAUAUGAUGGUAACUUAUGAAUAAGGAUCGGCUAACUACGUGCCAGCAGCCGCGGUAAUACGUAGGUGGCAAGCGUUGUCCGGAAUUACUGGGUGUAAAGGGAGCGUAGGCGGGAUGUCAAGUCAGAAGUGAAAAUUAUGGGCUCAACUCAUAACCUGCUUUUGAAACUGAUAUUCUUGAGUGAAGUAGAGGCAAGCGGAAUUCCUAGUGUAGCGGUGAAAUGCGUAGAUAUUAGGAGGAACACCAGUGGCGAAGGCGGCUUGCUGGGCUUUUACUGACGCUGAGGCUCGAAAGCGUGGGGAGCAAACAGGAUUAGAUACCCGUGUAGUC
rnacentral:rRNA from 1 species